rnacentral:lncRNA from 1 species
AUGCUCCGCUCAUCCGAGCCUUUUUCUCAGCGUGAGCGCUCACAUUCCCGCAGACCCGCGCUCAGUCCUGCGCUCCGCCGCGUCGGGAUGAAGAGAUGCGGGUUCAGUGAAAGAGUCCGUCUGUCCUGCUGGAGGAGAGAGAGAGGGGGUGGGGGGGGGGACGCGGAGCAGUUCGCAAGGCAACUAAUGAAAAAAGAGCAAAAGACCAACGCGAGAAAAAUCAACAAGCGAAAGCAGUCCUCUUUAUUUAUUUCAGUCCUUUGCGCGUCUUCUUCGGGAUUGUUGAGUCCCGUUCCAGCCGGAGAGAGAGCGGCCCGCGGCUGAGAGCUUUCUGUCUGUGCGAGCUGAGCCGAGAUGUGAGAGAGAGGCUGCGCUUAAACCCUGGAACUGGAUUCCUGGAUCGCACGGAUACGGAGUCGGUGAGGAAAUGAUCUCGUAAACGUAAUCACGAGUACAACUUAAGCAAUGGCUGUUGUGGAAGACGAUUAAGCAGAGCCGAGCAGGAAAGUAAAGCAGAUUAUUUGUUUUGUGUAUACAACUUUUUGGCCAAUUUCCAUUGGAUUUGCACUGCUACAUGCCCUUCAUUGGGGCACACAGGAGAAAGAUUCCCUCAUACCGUGGGCAGGCCGGCCUUCUCAGCCAAUGACUGCACAUGUUUUCUCACUGUAAUUCUAGCUUGCAUCAAAAAGAAAAAGUGCAGAUUUUUGGUCUUUUUUUCCUCAACUUGGCCUCAAUCAGAAAGACCGACUGUAGCCAUGCUGUAGCCGGAGCAGUAAUCCACAGAACAAAGGCGCAUGCAUGCCAUUUGUAACAACGCACUUACCAUUAUUUCAUUUGUUGACCGUCCUCACAGUCAAUGACCCUGAAAUGCAAUGCACAUCCUAGAACUGUUAAAGAAUGAGUUGAAAAGGCCAUGCAAGGAGAAGCAUGCAAUUGGAACGCAUCCCCCCCUUACACCUGGCUUUAAUAAAGCUUCAGAGCGAUACUUCAGUCAAAUACAGCAAGUCAAUGGUGUGUGGUGAGCGCACUGGCGCCGUUGUCCUGUGGCUGCUGUCGCAUCAUCCAGGUAGAUGCUGCACACUGGUGGUGGUUGAGGAGAGACCCCCCACAUGAUUGUAAAGUGCUUUGGGUGUACAGCAGUACACAUUAAAGCGCUAUAUAAAUGCAUCAUUCAUUCAUUCAUUCAUUCAUUCAUUCAUUCAACUCUAAGUGCGCAUUUCUCUGUUUCACUCGUACAGCAGGUGAGGCUCACAACAUAAGAGUGCACUCUUAUAUUUUCAUAUGCAUAACUUUACAUAGUAAUAGAUCCAUUUUGGGGGACAAAAGAGAAAACAGAUGUGAUAAAGGUCAUUCUGAUAUUUUUCUGAUGUUUAUGCAUUAGUUUUGCAGAAGUAAAACCACAUGUGUGUUGCAUUCUUGCAGUCAAAGGAAGGCAGUGGGGUUUAGUGAAAUCACAUACGGACAAAUACACACCCACUCACAUACACAUAUAAGGGGUUUAGGUGAAAUCACAUACGGACAAAUAACACACCCACUCACAUACACAUAUAAAAACAAGAUCAGCUCAACGAUUGUAUCUAUUUAAAUAAUUCUAGGGUUGUCUCUUCAAUAAAAAA